CUCCUCUCAGAUUCGCACCUGGAGAGUUUCCAGUACUCUACCAGUCUGUACUACAGGAGGGAGAGUCAAGCAGAGGCCUGUCCAUUCCAUUCCUAGCUUGGUCAGUGGCUAGCGAUUGGCAGGAAAUCUGCUACAAGU